CUUUGCUCAGAGCAAACCACGGGAAACCGUGGGACGCAGAGUUACGGGACGUCAGAAACAGUGUGAGUGAUUAAGUGUCCGUGAUUUUACUGGCACUGAUCACGGAUCACCGACACUGUAUUUCAUGUCAGCCGGGCCGCCAGA
rnacentral:ncRNA from 1 species